rnacentral:lncRNA from 1 species
UCGCUCGCUCCUCAAAUCCCUAAUUCGUUUUCUUAUGGAUUCAAUCGUUUCGCUAGGUUUUGUGAUGCUGCAUCGGAGGUCCAAUUGAAUUCCUAGGAAACUGCAUAGGAGCCCCAAUUGGAUUCCUCCGGCGAUCAGUUAAUCGGUGACGGCUACGACGAGACGCGACUGAGUGUCUCAGAGUCCGAUCAGAAGCUAGAACCAGGAGUUUCGAGUUCGGUUCUCAAUCGAAAAUUCUUCUGCAAAACCUGAUAGAGGCGUGGCCAGUGAGUUGUUAAGGUUGCAAGGAGGAUCGCGAUGAUGGCAUCGAUGAGUGCUCUUCUCCAUAAUAUUUUCCCACGGGUAAUUACAUACAUAUUGAGCUUUGCUUGGUCUUUUGAAAUGAGAAAUGUUAAGUCUAUGAUUAUAAGUUGCUGUUGGGAAAAAGCUGGAAUCUUGGACUCCCAUACAUUGAGCUUAGUGUAGAUGAACUAGAAACUGAUGAAUUAAGGAAUCGAUGCAGCUUAAGAUGAUUAAAACAUUCUGUUUUCGGAGCUACUCGUAUUAGAACUUGGUUGCAUUUGGUAGGUAGAUGUGUUUUGGAGCUUUCAGCGUGAUAAUUUGGGUCUCUCUACUCAGACAUUUAUUGAGUUGAUUAGAGUUUACUUUCUGUGGCAUCUUUUUUGGUUGCAUCUUCAUGUACUACCACCUGACCCUUAAUCGCAGAUGCACCUGCUCAAACAAGAAGUCAUUUUCCGUGUACCCCUUCAAGUUCUGUUACAUCAUUAUUUCAAAGGUCAACUUGUAGUAGUCCUCUUGGAAAGUUCCAGCUACUAGAUUCAGAUUCUGAAGAAGAUCAUCCAUCCACUAGCAGAGGUUUGAGCCUAGUCACUAGAACUUAUGUUUCCUCCUCAAAGGGUCAAUUAUCUGUUGAACGUAAAACAAAGAGAAAAGAAUGUGUGGAUUGAUUCAAAUGCCUGCACUGGAUGUUAUUUUCAGGACUUGUUUUAGCCCAAUAAGGAGAGUAGCACAUCUCAGAAACAAAGCGUUCUGCCAAGUCUGAUAGAGGUGUGUCCAGUGAGUUGUUAGGUUGCAGGGAGGAUGGUUUAAGAAGUGAAGAUAUCUUGAAAGAAGGCACGGAUGUCACCUUUACUGAUGUCAAACUCCAUAUAAACUUAUCAACAACAGCAUGCUGCAAGUUUCAUUCGGUACCAGUAAAAGUUUGGUAAGGCCAUGAAGACGCAAGAGAUGAGGAGUAAGUUUGUGUAGAGAAAGUUAAUCGAAGCUAUUGUUACUCUCUAGUACACAUUAGUAAAGAGUUGGAAAUCUGUAAUUUUCCUGAAUGUACC